UACAGAGGGUGCGAGCGUUAAUCGGAAUUACUGGGCGUAAAGCGUGCGUAGACGGUUAUGUAAGUCGGAUGUGAAAGCCCCGGGCUCAACCUGGGAAUUGCAUUCGAGACUGCAUAGCUAGGAUGCGGAAGAGGGAAGUGGAAUUUCCGGUGUAGCGGUGAAAUGCGUAGAUAUCGGAAGGAACACCAGUGGCGAAAGCGGCUUCCUGGUCCAGCACCGACGUUCAGGCACGAAAGCGUGGGGAGCAAACAGG
rnacentral:rRNA from 1 species